rnacentral:sRNA from 1 species
GUAGACGUAAUUAGCCAAAGUGAAGGUUCUGAUCCAGCUGCUGUUAUGUAUGAUGCGAUUAAUGCCGCUAAAAACAAAGGUGUUGAUAUUUUAAUUUGUGAUACCGCUGGACGUUUACAAAAUAAAACAAAUCUAAUGCAAGAAUUAGAAAAAGUUAAGCGUGUAAU